ensembl:lncRNA
CCAGGGGUUGUGGCCACCUGGGGACCCAGGCCCUGCGUUCCCAGGGUGACCCAGGGUCCUGGGGUUCAGGGUUUAUUUUUAGAGCUCAUGACACUGCCCAACGCUGGGGCUGGGGGUGGUUGACGGAGGGCCCUCCCCGGUCAUCCUGGGCCAGCUGAACGGGCCACUGCUGGGGCUCAGGAGCCCUCAGCGACCCUGCAGCAGAGCUGGCCUGGGGCGGCCAGUCUGGGUGGGCUGGUGGGAUCCGGGAAGGGCUUGCCAAGAGGGCCCCUCCCUGCGCCCUCACUGGGCUCGGAGUGGGCUUGGCUCUGGAAGCAGAGGCCCCACAGCUCCAGGCGCGGCAGGGCUGGGUGGAAGCAGGAGUGAAGGAGGGAGCCAACGUGGUCUGAGGGUCGUCCAGCUCCGCUCACCUCCCGGCUGGUGAGACUUGGCACCCAGGGGAACGCUUACCCAGCCCCAGAUGUGCUCCGGGCCCACCUGUCCGCGGGGUCGGGGUUGGACCCCGUGCCGCGGCCUUCCCAGCCAGCCUCUCAGCCAGGCUGCCCAGGCACAGUCCCUCAGGUGUCCCGCCCCCAGGCCUGCCCCGGCCACUCCCCAGCCCAGGACUGACCCCACUGGCAGCUCUGUCCUCCAGCCCUGACUGCCCAGCCCUGACCGCUGUCCUUCCCCUGGUUUAACCCCCAUCCUAUCAGCCCCACCCAGGGCGUCCCCUUCACUCCCGCAGCCGAGCCCCCUUCAGUCCUUGCCUUGGCUUGGAGGCCCCCACAGGCCAGCACGCCCCAGGCUCAGCCCCCUGAUCCCUGGAUGCCACUGUCUGUGCAAGGGAGAUUGGUCUCCACUCAGGCUGGCACACUUUGGUGACCUAGGUGGGAGCUUGCACAGGUGCCUGGGCCUGGGGACCCAGGAGCACUGGUGGCGGGAUCUGCAGUGGAGCAUAGGGGCUUCCCCUGUGGAGACCACCUGCUCCCAACAGCUCAUUCUGGCCUCACAAACCUAAUCUUCUGUGCUGCCUGGAGUCAGAUUGGGGUCCUGCCCUGUGGGCCCAGGAGCCCAGCCCUGAAUGUGCCUCUGCUGGGCAAUAGCCCAGCCCAGACUCUGCAGCCGCUGGUGCCCUGGUCAGCUGCCCACGCCCUUAGCGUCUUGAAAGCCGCCAACACAGGGCUUGCUCUGGCCCCGGCUUCGUGCCCCAGUCCACCAUGUGGUCGCUGUUGGUCAGGACCCUUCCCGUGGCCUCCCGGGCACCUCGGGCAGCCCGGGGAUCAGGGGCUCUGCCUUCACAAUUCAGGAUCAGCUCAGGGCAGGUCCCCAGGGAGGCCCGGCCAAGAAGCAUGUGUGGUGCGGUUCUGAGGGGCCUCACCAACCACCCCGCAGCCCAGCCCUGGGGAGGGGCGCGUGAGAGACCCCGGGGAGGGGACCUCAGCUGAGGCCAGAUGUCCACCCCCAAGGUGGCUGAGCAGAGACUACGCCUGAUGUCAGGGUGAUCCCAGGCUCACAGUGCAGGGUGGGGACAACCGGUCCACCCAGACCCCUGACCUUCCUGGAAAACCAUCCGUCUCCGUGGGCCCCUGCAGAGACAGCCGUCCUCCGCGCUGCCAUGUGUUCCUGGAGCCUCUCCAAGACAAUCGCACCAGCUCCCUUGUGGGCCACAAAGGUCCUUUGACGGUGGCGGCCGGAGCUAAACCCACAGUUGGGGUGAGGAGGGGGAGGGAGGGCUCCACUGGGCCCGCCCCGUACUCUGCAGGCUGAGCGGGCUCCCUGGACACCCUGCCUGCCCGAGCCCAGCGGCUCAAGGCUCCUCCGGCUGACAACCCUGCUCUGAGGGCCUGCCGGCCCCGCUUGUUCUGGGCGAGGCCGUGGAGUUUGUCCUGAGGAGGGGUCUGGCCAGCCAGGGAUUGGACCACCUGUUGGGGGUUCUGUGGCCACAGGACCCUGGGCCCACCUGGCAAAUGGGAGGGUGUUUGCCAUGGGUAGUCUGUCCUUGCCAAGUGUCCCCCAUGUGGGGCUCAGGGAGGCUGGGGUUCUGGAGCCCACACCUGUACACAGUGUGGUGAGAGGAGGGCUCUUGGACCCAGCACGUCAGGGCAUGUGGCCAGGCAGCGUGUCUGGGGCUGCGGCCCUUCUGCCUCCUCCCUCGUCUCUUGGGAACCAAGAGGUCUGGCCCCCUUUGGCUCCCAAAGCCAACACUGAGCAUGGGGCACCCCCAGAUGCCCAGUGACCAGGGAGGCCUGGACACAGAUGGACAUCAGGGGACCUUUGCUUCUGGUCCAGCAGGGUGGACGGGCAGUGGUGGGUGUCACAGGACACGGAGGCCAGGCUGUGUGGGGGCUGGGGCUGACAGUGCUGCGCCACGGGCUGGCGACAGGAAGCGUCUGUACAGGGGAAGGUGUGGAGCAGGCACAGUGAGAUGGCCCAGUUGCUGCCCCGGGACGGGUGGAGGCCGCUGGGGAGGGUAGCAGCCGGCUCAGCCUGGGUCAGGCUCCUGGGUUCCCGGGCCUGAGGCUGGCAACCACGGCCGUCCACUCACUGGGCCCUCGCAGGUUGGCCAGAGGAGGCCUGCUUGGCUACAAACAGGAACGUCGCCCACGGGCCAGGCGGGAGCACCCGGCUGGGGAGAAGGCCCAGAGCAAGGCACAAUCCACCCUUUGUUCCCGCGGCCUGGAGCCUGCGGGCCAAGAGGAAAUGAGGGGAGCGCCAGCCAGCAGCCCUCACCCGCCCGGCAGUCCUCACCGCCAGGGCCGGGCAGACGCCAGGGCCCAGCCCAGCAGAGGGGCUGGAGAGUCUGCUCCAGGGAGGGGCAGGCUGCCCACCGCGUCCCCCUGGCCCAGCCAAGUCGGCAUCCACGAGGGGCGGCAGGUCCCCAUGGCACGGGCCUGGAUGCCCAUGCCCACUUCCUUACCUGCACCACCCCCCGUCCACCUUGGCAAGCCCCGGGCUGCUCAGGCGCCUGUUGGGGGCUGCGGCCUGGGCACAGGUCCUGGACAGCCCUGGGCAGCGCCUGCUCCAGUCUGAGGAUGGCCCCUGCCCCUGGCCUCCCACCCGCAGCCCCAGACAAGUGCCUGAGUCCUCCCCGGCUGAGGGUGGAUGGUGAGGGGCAGGGGUCUGGCUGGAUGGGGCUGGGCCAUGCCCCACCCUGCUCCUUACCAAUCCCCAGGGCCCCCAGACGUGACCAAAGGGGGCUGCCAUCCAUCCUGGCAGCAGCCAAGCUUGUCCCCUCAACAGCGGAGGAGGGGACGUUGGGCCUGAAGGGCCAACCAUCUGGCGGGUCCCACCUCAGAGUGCCAUCCCCUCUGCCAAGUCCCAUCCAGGGGCAGCCCAGGACCACCGCCAGGAGUGUGUGACCUGAGUGCGUGCGUGUACACAUGUGCGUGCAUGUGUACCCCUGUGUGUACGUGCACAUGUGCUCGCAUCGCGUGUGUACAUGUAUGUGUGCACGAGUGCAUGCAUGUGGGUGUGUGGGGCUGGAGACCCCUUCUGUCCCCUCCCUCACACCUUCCUUCACUCCACGCAGCCCUGUGGGAUCUGGGGCAGGAGCUGUGGGGCCGAGGACCCCUGGAGCCUCGUUCGUGAGUGCCCGGUGGGGUCUCCCUUGGAGGCCCGCACUGUGGGGCUGAGUGGCCACCUGGUACCCCACUUCGAGGUCCAUUUUAGCCUCAUCUGAGCCUGUGUUGAGGUUGAAAGAUGACCCCUGAAGUCCCUUUGUUGUGCCACCAUGCUUGGCCUCCCAGGAAGGGCCGACUGCCCCGGGGGCCCAGGUUGAUCCUCGCAGGCACAGAUCCCCACCACAGCCGGACACCUAGCAGGCUGGCCUCCCUGGGGCCUCUCCUGGUGCCGGUCUGGGACGCAGAGCCCUGGCCUAGGGCCUCACCUGGGGCACAGCAGCCUUCAGGCCACCAGGCAGGAGCACCCAGGGACAAACCCCACAGGGCCACGGCACCCAGCCUCGGAGCUCAGGUCUGGGUGCUGGACCUUCUGGGAUGGCCUGGAGUCUGAAGCCCACCCAGAAGUGGGAGGGUCCCGGGGGUCAGGAGGGCCUGUCCCGGGGUGGGGCAGUGGCUGUCACCACAUCCCCAAGGUCCAGGCUCAGCCAGGUGGACCCCGGCCGGCUGGCUCCCACACUGGGUCGCACAGGCCAGCAUGGGGUUUCUGGGUGCCUGCCCCAGGGAGGUCAGACUUGAGUCCACUGCCAUGGGGCCGGUCUCAGCCACCUAGCAGUGGGGACUGAGGGUCAGGGCCCGCUGUGCCCAGGGGCCCUGAACCAGAGUGAGUAUCCUCAGGGCAAGGAGAAGACUCUGAGGCCUGGGGACACGUAUGUGCACAUGCGUGUGUGUGUAACGACUGUGCUACUGUCACUCACCGGGGCACACAGACCACACAAAGAGUCCGCGGCCUUGGAUGGCACUGCCAGCUGCUGUGGGGAGGCUGGAGGCUGGGCCUGGGCAGGCAGGGCUCAAAUGAGACAGCCCACCCCGCCCCAUGCCUGAGAAGGGGCCCCACCUCCAGUUUUGGGGCGCCCCUGGCCUCCUGGCCUUGCCUCGUUCCCCCAACUUCUGGGUCAGCUGGACUCCCCACCAGCUCCUGCUGGCCGCAGGGAGCUCGUCCAGACUGGCCGGGGUCCCAGGUGCCCCUUCCCCACCCCCAGCCCAGGCCUUGGACCACAGCCACCCCCUAGACAGUAUUUCAGCUGCACAGGUCCAAGGGCUGGGGGUCCUGACUCCCUGCUGGCCCCUGCGGAUGCCUCCCAGGGAGGCAGAGGAGAGCAGGCCUGGGCUCUGCAAAUGGCAGCUAGAGCUGAGGCACUGAGUGCCCACCCAGUCGAGGUCCCCGGCCUGCCCUUGGCCCUGGCACCUGGGGCUUGCCCAGGAAGCUGUCAGAGCCCAGCCGAGAAGGCCACAGGGGUGCAGGCCCAGGGCUGACCCUCCCAUCAGACGGGCCUCCCCCAGCGAUGUCCUCUCCUGCUGCCUGCCCGGGAAGACGGGUUGCCACACACUUGGGGUAAAGGAGCAUAACCCCAUUCCAGAGGACACUCCUUCCCUGGCUGGUCCCACAGCCCAUCCUGCUCUGCUCUGCUCUCCUGCCGCCCCAGCGAGGUAGGGGAGUGACAGAUUUCCCUCUGGUGGGAACGGACCGUGCAGAGUAACACACUUUCAAGCAAUGGGACUGAAAAUAUUGCCGAGAAAACAUGCGGAUGGCGGGUGGGCAGCAGGGACACCGGCCUGCCCUGUGGGAGGCGCCCUGCACAGCCCUGCUGUCACCAGGGUCACCUGGAGGCAGGGGUGCCGGAGUGUGGCCCCAGGCCCCUGUGUGAGGUGGUGAGAUGGUCACUUGCCACUACUGGACCAGCCCCGUGUCCCUCUGGCCCAGAGGUGGGCCACAGGGCCUGGCAGGGGGCCCUCAGCUCAGGUGGGGCAUCUGAGGGGGCGCCCACCUCUGGGGCGGCCCUUCUGGCCUUGGGGCGCAGACUGUGGCUUGUCCCUGUCCUUCUAGGAGGUGGGGCAGCAGGGCCAGGAAGGGGCCCAGACGGGGCUGCUGUGGUUUCUCUCAGUCCCAGGGACCCCAGGGACCAGUGCGCAAUGCUGGGGUGUGCCCGCCCGUGGUUCUGUCCUCUAGGACACAUCCACAUCAAGGGCCCGGGCUCAGCGGCCCCCAGUGGGGUGUUGGGCACAGCAGGCAGGGGCCCUACCUGUUCCCUUGGGGCCCAGGUCCCUAAGUGACUGUCAGUGAGGGCGGCCCACCGGCACCGUCCUGGGGACAUGCUCUGAGAACCUGUCCAGUGCCAGCGCAGCCACGAGGCUUUGAAGGGCCACAGUGCGUCCACCUCCUUCCACACACAUCUGUAGAGCUCGCCGGCCUGCCUUCCGGAAGCUCCCUGAGCUGCAAAGUCAACACCGUUGUCUGAUGGUUUCAUUGCUUAAGCCGACGUAAGGUGCGGCUGGUGGCUCUUCCAAGGCAGACGAGGAGUUGCAGGUGGGCCCCAGCCCCGGCAGCAGCGUUGCAGCCACCUGCGGCCCCCAGGAGGGUGACCAAGAACAACCACUCUCCCGAGUGUGCAGCCUGGAGGCCUGCCGUGGUCCAGGGUGUCUGGGCCCGGAGGGCACCCUUGGAGGAGAUGGCACCCGCCGGGGCCUGGGCUCCCCGCGGAGGCUGUAGGGCAGCCUUGCCUAGCCGUCUGACACCCAGAUGCCUAUGGCCAGGCCUCUCGUGCCCCCAGCCGGCCUGCGGGGGGCGCUGGGUGACUGGCCCUGUCUGGAUGAAGGCUGGAUCCACGCGCCGCUCAGGGUUUGAGCCCAAGCUCUGGUGCUGGGUGAGCUUAGCAGAACUGCACCUGGGGCCCGGCCGGAGGCUUCGGCAGGGGCUCCUCAGAGCCUCAUCCUGGCCCUUGUGUCCAGCUGGGCCUGGACAGCUGCCCCCGGCCUUGUCCUCUGCACACGUUCCCGGCAUGGGCCUGGGUGUUAGUGGGGGCUCCAGGAGAGUGCCGGGGAGGGGAGGCCCUGCGGUGGGACCACUCUAGGGGGUGCGGGAGCUGGCCUGGUGUGGCCCCUGUUCCAGGGUGCCGGCCUCACGCUGGAGGGGGCGUUGGGCGUCUCUGUGGCGGGCAGGCGAGCGCAGCUCUGGGCUCACGUUACAGUUUCCACUGGAAAAACAGCCCCAUUUUGAAUGUUGGCUCUGAGCUUUUACAAAAUUGCAAAUAUAUCCAGUUUCCUGACGACUGCUCACUGAGAGAACUUGGUUGUUUCUGCCGGCCUUGCCGAGGGUGGGCGCCCGGCCCAGCUGGAGAGACAGCCUGGGGCCAAGGGAGGCCGCGAGGGCCAGGCAGGCAGGGCUGACCUGCAGAUCUGGGGGGAC